rnacentral:rRNA from 1 species
AACGAACGCUGGCGGCAUGCCUAACACAUGCAAGUCGAACGAGACCUUCGGGUCUAGUGGCGCACGGGUGCGUAACGCGUGGGAACCUGCCCUUAGGUUCGGAAUAACUCCCCGAAAGGGGUGCUAAUACCGGAUAAUGUCUUCGGACCAAAGAUUUAUCGCCUUUGGAUGGGCCAGCGUUGGAUUAGCUAGUUGGUAGGGUAAAAGCCUACCAAGGCGACGAUCCAUAGCUGGUCUGAGAGGAUGAUCAGCCACACUGGGACUGAGACACGGCCCAGACUCCUACGGGAGGCAGCAGUGGGGAAUAUUGGACAAUGGGCGGAAGCCUGAUCCAGCAAGGCCGCGUGAGUGAUGAAGGCCUUAGGGUUGUAAAGCUCUUUUACCCGGGAUGAUAAUGACAGUACCGGGAGAAUAAGCUCCGGCUAACUCCGUG